rnacentral:rRNA from 1 species
AUUGAACGCUGGCGGCAGGCCUAACACAUGCAAGUCGAGCGGAUGAAGGGAGCUUGCUCCUGGUUUCAGCGGCGGACGGGUGAGUAAUGCCUAGGAAUCUGCCUGGUAGUGGGUGAUAACGUCCGGAAACGGGCGCUCAUACCGCAUACGUCCUGAGGGCGUACGUGGGGGAUCUUCGGACCUCACGCUCUCAGAUGAUCCUAUGUCGGAUUAGCUAGUUGGUGGGGUAAAGGCCUACCAAGGCGACGAUCCGUAACUGGUCUGAGAGGAUGAUCAGCCACACUGGAACUGAGACACGGUCCAGACUCCUACGGGAGGCAGCAGUGGGGAAUAUUGGACAAUGGGCGAAAGCCUGAUCCAGCCAUGCCGCGUGUGUGAAGAAGGUCUUCGGAUUGUAAAGCACUUUUAGUGGGGAGGAAGGGCAGUAAGUUAAUACCUUGCUGUUUUGACGUUACCAACAGAAUAAGCACCGGCUAACUUCGUG